UUUUAUGGAGAGUUUGAUCCUGGCUCAGGAUGAACGCUGGCGGCGUGCCUAAUACAUGCAAGUCGAGCGAACGGACGAGAAGCUUGCUUCUCUGAUGUUAGCGGCGGACGGGUGAGUAACACGUGGAUAACCUACCUAUAAGACUGGGAUAACUUCGGGAAACCGGAGCUAAUACCGGAUAAUAUUUUGAACCGCAUGGUUCAAAAGUGAAAGACGGUCUUGCUGUCACUUAUAGAUGGAUCCGCGCUGCAUUAGCUAGUUGGUAAGGUAACGGCUUACCAAGGCAACGAUGCAUAGCCGACCUGAGAGGGUGAUCGGCCACACUGGAACUGAGACACGGUCCAGACUCCUACGGGAGGCAGCAGUAGGGAAUCUUCCGCAAUGGGCGAAAGCCUGACGGAGCAACGCCGCGUGAGUGAUGAAGGUCUUCGGAUCGUAAAACUCUGUUAUUAGGGAAGAACAUAUGUGUAAGUAACUGUGCACAUCUUGACGGUACCUAAUCAGAAAGCCACGGCUAACUACGUGCCAGCAGCCGCGGUAAUACGUAGGUGGCAAGCGUUAUCCGGAAUUAUUGGGCGUAAAGCGCGCGUAGGCGGUUUUUUAAGUCUGAUGUGAAAGCCCACGGCUCAACCGUGGAGGGUCAUUGGAAACUGGAAAACUUGAGUGCAGAAGAGGAAAGUGGAAUUCCAUGUGUAGCGGUGAAAUGCGCAGAGAUAUGGAGGAACACCAGUGGCGAAGGCGACUUUCUGGUCUGUAACUGACGCUGAUG
rnacentral:rRNA from 2 species